GACGAACGCUGGCGGCGUGCCUAAUACAUGCAAGUCGAGCGCAGGAAACUGACGGAACUCUUCGGAGGGAAGGCAGUGGAAUGAGCGGCGGACGGGUGAGUAACACGUAAGGAACCUGCCUCAAGGAUUGGGAUAACUCCGAGAAAUCGGAGCUAAUACCGGAUAGUUCAUCGGACCGCAUGGUCCGUUGAUGAAAGGCGCUCCGGCGUCACCUUGAGAUGGCCUUGCGGUGCAUUAGCUAGUUGGUGGGGUAACGGCCCACCAAGGCGACGAUGCAUAGCCGACCUGAGAGGGUGAUCGGCCACACUGGGACUGAGACAUGGCCCAGACUCCUACGGGAGGCAGCAGUAGGGAAUCUUCCACAAUGGACGAAAGUCUGAUGGAGCAACGCCGCGUGAGUGAUGAAGGUUUUCGGAUCGUAAAACUCUGUUGUAAGGGAAGAACACGUACGAGAGGGAAUGCUCGUACCUUGACGGUACCUUACGAGAAAGCCACGGCUAACUACGUGCCAGCCGCCGCAGUAA
rnacentral:rRNA from 1 species